GAGUUCCUGCUUUAGUUGGAGCUAAUGUGUGUAUUGUAACUUAGCUGAUAUUCAUUUCUUAACUACUUUAGUUCGCAUACUGGCUAUGGCAGAUAGGAUUGUGAGGCCAGCCUCGACGUGCAAGCCUGUCUGCUGUCCAAUUUCUAUUCUGAAGCAGGAGCCAAGUGUAGAACUUAACCUCCCCCUCUGCCUUUGCCUUCCAAACCACUUCGAGCUGCGGUUGCGGGAUACGGCCGAUGAAUUGAGCUUCAAUGUCUACUCUCUUCUGAUUUUUAACAGGAGUCAGCUGCUCGAAAGGAAGAAGCUUGGGCUGGAGUGGAGAGAACCUUGAACUCUCGUCUUCAUGUCUACUCUCCUGAUUUUUUUGUUAGCAGUGGGGCGGAAAAAUAACGAAGAUAACUAGAACUACAACAUGAGAUUUAAUUGUUAUAAACGUAGUUGAUUAGGGGCAUCACAAGGAAUGGCCCCAUUAGUAGCUAUUUUUGUGCAGUUGUUUAUGCUUUUCAGCAAUUAAUAGUACAUACAAAGAUGUCUGCUAUCUUGUUUUAACGCAAUCAGGGAGAAAGCCAGAAACAUUCAGCGACAUAGUUUUACUUUUAUCUGUUCUACUCAAAUAUUCAGGAAGCGGAAGCGAAAGCUGCUGCCUCAGAGGAAAAGGAGCGGUCUAUAAAUGAGAGACUGUCACAAAAUUUUGUCCCGCAUAACUGUUCUGGAGACUCAGAUUACAAUUCUUAGGACAGAACACAGACAGCUGAGCCGAUCUGUUGAAAAGGAUAGACGAAGAGCAUCUGAAAGUAGACAGUAGUACCUAGCAAUUAAGGAGGAGGCGGCAUUACAAGCAGGACAAGCCAAACGGCUUGAAGAAGAAGAAAAGGAGCUUAGAGCUAGGCACACAAAUGAGCUGCAGGAAGCAGCAGAACACAGGGGGCUGCUUGAGAAGAUCCGAGGAGAUCAAGAGAGAGGAAUUGAGAUGCACUUGGGGAAGAAGUCGAGCUAAGAGGGCCAGCCGGCCUUGUAUACUAUAAAGUGUAUUAACUAUAUGCUCUAGCCAUUGGCUGAAUUCAGAAUAAGGGGAUGGCUGUUAUAUAGCCCGACACAGCAAGAAGUAAAACAGUAAUUAAGUAACCGUGUCAUAUCCGGCGAGCAGUGCGAGCCGUCGAUCCUCUUUUCACUUCCAUCGUAAGCCGUCGGAUAAUUGAACGAAACAGUACGCUUGACGAACAGGGCUGAUGCCUGACACUGAAGGAUAUGUACAGAGAACAAGUGGAUCUUCUUGUUAGCCAGCUCCAGACAUUGGGCGCUCGUGUACAGUGUGCUAUUGACCAAAGACAAGAGUCUUGAAGGCUGAACAUGUUCCGUCAAAACCGCAGCGAGUGUGGGAAGUUCAUAGUCAUGCGAGAUAUAUUGAUUUUGUGUACACCGUGACGGAUCUUUAUUGUCGACUUCACUAGGAUAUAGUGUGUUGUACACUUAGACUGAAUAGCUUCACAGUUUUACAUAUUGCUUGCAAAUGUUUCAGUUUUUGAACUUA